rnacentral:rRNA from 1 species
GACGAACGCUGGCGGCGUGCUUAACACAUGCAAGUCGAACGGAAAGGCCCUGCUUUUGUGGGGUGCUCGAGUGGCGAACGGGUGAGUAACACGUGAGUAACCUGCCCUUGACUUUGGGAUAACUUCAGGAAACUGGGGCUAAUACCGGAUAGGAGCUCCUGCUGCAUGGUGGGGGUUGGAAAGUUUCGGCGGUUGGGGAUGGACUCGCGGCUUAUCAGCUUGUUGGUGGGGUAGUGGCUUACCAAGGCUUUGACGGGUAGCCGGCCUGAGAGGGUGACCGGCCACAUUGGGACUGAGGUUCGGCCCAGCCUCCUACGGGAGGCAGCAGGGGGGAAUAUUGCCCAAUGGGCGGAAGCCUGAUGCAGCAACGCCGCGUGCCGGAUUACGGCCUUCGGGUUGUAAACCGCUUUCGCCUGUGACGAAGCGUGAGUGACGGUAAUGGGUAAAGAAGCACCGGCUAACUACGUG